GGAAAGAGGACGCGUGUGAUUACAAGCAAGAGGGCAUGACCGUCGAACAAGAAGAAGCUGUUCUCCCUCCGUGCUGUGAGAACAGGCUUGAAGGUCCUGGUGGAGAUGGACCAGUGAGGGAGUUUCCAGAAAUAUCGGUGCAAAAUCUGCAGGAUCUUAUUGCUGAAGUUGAUAGUGAGAAACUUGGAGAGAAAAUGAAUAUUUUCUCAGGGGAGGAGCACCAAGAUGCAGGUGAGAGCUUUGCAGAUUAUCCCUCAGACUUUUCCUCAUGUGAAUAUGUAGAAGAGGGAGGUAAAAACCAAGAUAUGAAGCGCCAGUCAGAAGCAUUGGCUUGUGCAUCCGGCAGCAGUUCAAUUGUUCAGCAGAACACCUUCCUGGAAGAAUCAGAUGGGAUGCAGAUGGGAGGAGCGGAGGACUCUGAUGAGGAGGGGGACAGGAACCGGCACAGCAGAUAUUUAGAACAGGAAGCCAAUGAGCUCAGCAGCGUGGACGUGGCUAAUGGAGAGAAACGCAUGGUGGAGAACGUGUCUGGCAACGCAUUUGCAACGGGGCUUGAUGAUGGCAGUGCGACAAGUGACAGUGAAUCCUUCACCUCCAGUGACGAUGAGGUGCAAGAAAAAAGGAGCGACGAAGAACUCUUUGGUAGUACGCAUCUACAAGAUCAACUGGAGGAGACUCGCGGUGGCAGCAGAGCAUCAUUUUCUGAUUGCUACGACAGAAUGGAUCCGGCAGAUUUCAACAAUCACUUUAACCCAGAGCUGUUAACAGCUGACCCUCUUUUGUCUGAAGACAUGUUAACCACAGAGGACGCAGACACGCCGCUUUCAGACGCGACUCUGCGUCCUGCAGAAGACGCCAACAGCUACUCGGUGGUACAGGAAGGGGAUGCAAAAACAAGCAAGUCCUCUCACCAGGGAUCGCUGGACGAUAACUUCGUCUUCAACACGGAACCUGAAGCUUGUGGAAGCUUCGCUGAGACAGGACAGCUGGGAGACGACGAGUGCGAAGAGGAGAGCGACUGGCAACAAGAGCAGCAGAGAAUCAAGUCGUUCUACGAGUUUUAUGAUGACAGCGAUGUAGAGAAUGAAAGAGGGGGAAGACUGGUAAAAGUUCAGUUUUGUGCAGAUCCAUUAUCGCAAGUCAUUCACUAUGAAACUGACAGUGACAGAGCUUCACUCAGCAGCUCCAUAGAUGGGGAGGAGGACCUGAACUCUGCAGACACGUCUGAGUGCUCCAACAUGCUGAAGCCGACACUGAAGAUUGGUCUCGCGAUACUGACUGGACUGCUCAUGUUCUGGUUUGUCACAGACCGAGUGGGCUGCUUUGACCAUGUGUUUUUCUUUUAAGGUUAAAAACCUUAAACCUAAUUUGGGGGUCAUAGAAAUAUGUUUAUCUGCUUACGGCUGAUCAACGAAAGAUCCAAAAUGAUGUAAUGUCUUAAAUACGUGCUGAACUUUGAAAUGACGGUUUUCUUGUGUAUGUUACU
ensembl:lncRNA